UACGAAGGGGGCUAGCGUUGUUCGGAAUCACUGGGCGUAAAGCGCACGUAGGCGGCUUUUUAAGUCAGGGGUGAAAUCCCGAGGCUCAACCUCGGAACUGCCUUUGAUACUGGAGAUCUUGAGUCCGGAAGAGGUAAGUGGAACUGCGAGUGUAGAGGUGAAAUUCGUAGAUAUUCGCAAGAACACCAGUGGCGAAGGCGGCUUACUGGUCCGGAACUGACGCUGAGGUGCGAAAGCGUGGGGAGCGAACAGG
rnacentral:rRNA from 1 species